CACAGAUGAACUGUAGCCACUCUCAUUCAUCACUCAGCUCAAGAGUGCUGCAUGUGUAAAAAGAUUGGCCUAGAAAGCUGGAGCUGAACCAUGACGAUGGAUAUAUGUCCCAGGACUGUUAAUUCCAAGAGUGCUAUGACGGGGGAAGCAUAUACUUCUCUUAAUUUUGUUAUACUAAGGACCUACAUGAUUUCAGGCCAUCUCCAUAUGCCUCAAGCUUGAUCCUUGUACUGUUCCAUUAUUCAUUUUUUUUCUAUCUUCAGAGUGCCAAAUUAAAAUAAUUUCUCCAAUAAAUUAAAAUAAUUUCUUCA
rnacentral:lncRNA from 1 species